rnacentral:rRNA from 1 species
UACGGAGGAUUCGAGCGUUAUCCGGAUUUAUUGGGUUUAAAGGGAGCGUAGGCGGGUUGUUAAGUCAGUUGUGAAAGUUUGCGGCUCAACCGUAAAAUUGCAGUUGAUACUGGCAUCCUUGAGUACAGUAGAGGUAGGCGGAAUUCGUGGUGUAGCGGUGAAAUGCUUAGAUAUCACGAAGAACUCCGAUUGCGAAGGCAGCCUGCUGGACUGUAACUGACGCUGAUGCUCGAAAGCGUGGGGAGCAAACAGG